rnacentral:lncRNA from 1 species
GAGAUGCUAAAAUUUGGACAAAACUCUAUAUUUUCAAACAAUUUAUAUACUUUUAAACUUAAUGAAAUCAUUGAAGGCAUCUGCUGUAGGAAUGACAAAAAGUCUGCAGAAAACUCUUACAAAAACUGAGAAGUUUGCCUAUAUAGUCUAACAGUAUAGCUUGUAACUAUUAGAAAAUAUACAUUGGACUUCUUGCUUUUUUUGUAUCUAUUGCAUUCCCAUACUUAACAGAGGGUAAAGGAACUCUUAGGUGAAGGAGCUCUUAGAGCUGUAAUGGUUACUUCAGUUGAUGAUGGUAAGAAGGAUGUUUUGAGGUAAAGUGGAGAAUUAAGUAAUGAAAGGAUAAAUGUUGAUACUCUUAUAAUGUUUUGUGUUUUCUUUAACAUAGCAAAUGUAAGGUGUCUUGUCUGGAAGUGAACUACCUGCUUCACUGCAAAUUAAAUUGUUUAAGGUCUAUGGAUUUAAUAAGGAGAACUGAGCUUUGCUUGUUUUUUUUUUUUUCCUCUCAAAACUCCCACUUGUGGAUUGGCCUGAAGUGAAAAUUCAUCCAAUAAUGUCCAAACCUUCUCAGUUAGGGUCUGGUACUACAUUAUGCCCAAGUGAGUGUCAAAUAAAUGUUGUCUGAUAAUGAUGAGAAUAUUUUUUUUUAGAAGGAAUUAGGCUUAUGUACCACAUUUCUCACAAUAGUCUCAAGAGUCGUUGGAAAAUAGAAUUCUUAUUUGAACUUGAACUAUUACUCUGUAAUUCUUGUCAAUUACACUAUUAUAAGUUUUAUAUAAAUUUUAAAAAAUGGAUUCAUUUGACAGUGUAAAAUCCUCCUACAUUGGAAUGUAAUAGAACUGAUUUUAACUGGUAUAUUUAAGAAGAAUAACAUGCAUUGAAUUUGAGUGAUAAACUCAAGAAUUUUCCAAAGAUGUGCUGCAUUUAGGCAUUUUAUCAAUUGGGCUCAUUCAGUAUAUAUUUCCUUACUGCAGUUUUUGCUAGGUAGUGGGACAGUUGUCAUUGCAGAGUUAGAGUAUUAGCAUAGCACCUUGAAAAUGUCUCUGUGUGAGAUAUGUGUCAUCUGAAUAUAUGUGGUCUAGAAGUUUCAUUUUCGACUUUAGAAAGCACUAACUGCUAAAUAUUUUCUUAGUUUUUUGUUUUUGUUUUAUUUCUUUUUUGGCUGUGCCUGUGGCAUAUGGAAGUUCCUGGGUCAGGGAUCAAAUCCAAGUUGCAGCUGCCACCUAUGCCACAGCUGUGGCAAGGCUGGAUCCUUAACCCACUGUGCUGUGCUGGGGACUCAAACCCUUGUGGCCUCAGAGACAACACCAGAUCCUUAACUCAUAGUGCCACAAUGGGAACUCCAUUUUCCUAGUUUCUUUUAAAAAAUAAUAACUUCAGGAAAAGAGUAUCACUCAUUCCUUGGGGAUAGGAUGUAUUCUGCUCUGGGAAAUGCUUUGGGAAAAUUACUUGAAAUUCAAGAAAUCUCAAGUGGAACAACUUCAAAAACAUUUUGCUAUAAUAUGUUCUAAAAGGUAAUUAAGUUUUGACAUGUAAAGACAUGUAAAUGUAGCAUUCUAAAAGAAGAGGUGUGGAAGUUUUUUCUUUCAGAGCAGAGUCUCUUAAUAAUUUGUGUUAGUUGAAUAUUUGAAAAAAUAGUCUGGAAUAAAUGCUGAUAUAGUUACCAGAAUUUUUAUUAUUGUCUCACCUUCACAUCAUUAAUGUUAUCUAUCCUCUUCUUUCAGCUGAAUAUGUCAAGUGACCAGAUAGCUGCCAAUCUGCAAGCAGUUAUCAAUGAAGUUUGUAGGCAAAGACCACUGAACUUGGGACCCUUUGUGGUACGUGCUUUCCUUCGAAGUUCAACAAGCGAAGAGAGACAGAGAGAGACAGAGAAACAGAGGGAACAUGCACACACAUGAUGUUAUAAAGUAAGCAUUUCCCCAUAUUAUUUAAAAUCUUAUAUGAAAAGCAUCAUUUUACUAGCUGAGCAAUAUUUCAUCCUGUUGAUGCUCUAAUUUAUGGAGUCAUUUCCCAGUUUGGGGGCAUUUAACUUGCUUUCAGGCCCCCCCUCUACCGUUAUUAUUUACAAUGCUUUGGAGAAAAUCUUUGAGCAUCACUUAUUUUCCUCUAUAUUUCUAGAAGUGACAUUCUUGAGUUAAAGGUGUGAUAUGGCUAAGGGUCUUAAUUUUGUCUUAGAAAGGUGCCUUUUUGAGCAGAACAAGCCAGAACAAGAAAUAUGGUUGGAAAACUUGCUCUGGGCGAGAACAUUCCAGGGUCUUAUUAACUGGCCUAUGAAUAAAUUAUUCCCUAAUCUUCCCUUAGAGCAUUUUUCCUAUUGGCUACCUAGAACUAAUGUUGAAUGUUCAUCCUGGUGUGCUUCUGGAAAAAUAGAAGAAUCACUCUAGGCUACUCUUCACUUAAAUCUCUUUCUCUUUUGUAUUGUUAAUGUAUUUGCUUUUUUGUUAGAAAAUAAAUUAAAAGCUUAUAUAUAAAAAGAGUAAAAUGUUUUUAAAAUGCAUGGUAAAUACUACUGAUUCCCAAAUGUUAGCCUGCAUGCAAAUCACCUUGUGAGCACAAAUUGCCUGGCACCAGUCAGUGAUCUGAGGUGGACCGUGAAAAUUUACAUUUCUAACAAAUUCCUUUUGCCAAACCCAGGUUUGUAUGCCUGGUACAUGGUGAGGCCAAACAAACCAAAAUAUUGGAGUUUGGAGCAGAGAAAACUUUAUUGCAAGGGCUGAGCGAGGAGAACAGGCUGCUGGUGCUCAAAAAGCCUAAACGCUCCCAAGGUUUUCAGGGAAGAGUUUUUAUUGGGCAAAACGUGCAAGGAGGACUGUAAAGUAUGUGACCUUCCCCUCACUGGUUGGUGGAGAGAUAACAGUAAUAACGCUCCAGGAAUCUCAGUCCUUAGCCUUCUGGUCCAGCCAGUCUGGGAUCCAGGGAUUGUGCUCUGCCUGCAGUUACCGUCCUCCACCUGGGUGGGAGUAUCCCUUGAGGGGGAACCAGGACCCUGCAGUCUUCUUUUUUGACUGCUUUUUCUUUGUUUCUGCAUCCCCUUGCUCUUCUAAUUAGAAACUGAACCUGCCCUUUGGAAUUUGGGGAAGGUCUCAAAGGCCAAAGCCUUUUCCCUACAACAAGGAAGCGGGGGGCACGGACAGGCUUUGGUACUCUGGAGGGCCCCCAGAGUCCUGCUUGGGUUCAUUCCCAGGUGAUGAUGGUGUUACUGGUCCAUGGAUGAUACUUUGAGAACCACUGUUAUUUACUAAUGAAUCUUUUAACCUUGGAUAAAAAGAUCUCUAGCUUUGUUAUCAGCAUCAGUUUAUUUUAAAAUUCAGCAGGUAAUUCUGAUGUAGCAGGGUUGAGAAUCACCAGUAUAUGCAAUUAGCCAAAUUAUAAAAGAAAAAGUUUUUAAUAAAAGUCAAGAUUCUAAAAGAAUGAUAUGAAAAAAAAAAAAAGAGUGCACCAAAUUUAAGGGCUAGGACUAGUUCCUAGCUUUCUGGUCUAUCCCUAGAAGUAAACAAUUUAAAUUCCUUUGGAAUGGGAGUUCCCGUCAUGGCUCAGUGGUUAACAAAUCCGACUAGGAACCAUGAGGUUGUGGGUUCAAUCCCUUGUCUCGCUCAGUGGGUUAAGGAUCUGGCAUUUCUGUGAGCUGUGGUGUGGGUUGCAGACGCAGCUCCAAUCUGACGUUGCUGUGGUGUAGGCCGGCAGCUACAGCUCUGAUUAGACCCCUAGCCCAGGAACCUCCAUAUGCCAUGGGAUGGGCCCUAGAAAAGGCAAAAAGACAAAAAAAAAAAAAAAAAAAAAAAA